AGUGAACGCUGGCGGUAGGCCUAACACAUGCAAGUCGAACGGACGCACAGUAAGCGCUUGCUCUUACGGGUGGCGACUGGCGGACGGGUGAGGCAUACAUCGCCAUCUACUUUUUCGUGGGGGACAACGUAGGGAAACUUCCGCUAAUACCGCAUACGAUCUACGGGUGAAAUCAGGGGUUCUUCGGACCUUGCGCGAUUGAAUUAGCUGAUGUCGGAUUAGCUAGUUGGCGGGGUAAAGGCCCACCAAGGCAACGAUCCGUAGCUGGUCUGAGAGGAUGAUCAGCCACACUGGAACUGAGACACGGUCCAGACUCCUACGGGAGGCAGCAGUGGGGAAUAUUGGGCAAUGGGCGCAAGCCUGAUCGAGCCAUACCGCGUGGGUGAAGAAGGCCUUCGGGUUGUAAAGCCCUUUUGUUGGGGAAGAAAAGCAGCAGGUUAAUACCCCGCUGUUCUGACGGUACCCAAAGAAAAAGCACCGGCUAACUUCGUG
rnacentral:rRNA from 1 species